GUAGGUGGCAAGCGUUGUCCGGAAUUAUUGGGCGUAAAGCGCGCGCAGGUGGUUCUUUAAGUCUGAUGUGAAAGCCCCCGGCUCAACCGGGGAGGGUCAUUGGAAACUGGGGAACUUGAGUGCAGGAGAGGAAAGUGGAAUUCCACGUAUAGCGGUGAAAUGCGUAGAUAUGUGGAGGAACACCAGUGGCGAAGGCGACUUUCUGGCCUGUAACUGACACUGAGGCGCGAAAGCGUGGGGAGCAAACAGGGAUUAGAUACCCUGGUAGUCCACGCCGUAAACGAUGAGUGCUAAGUGUUGGGGGGGUUUCCCGCCCCGUCAGUGCUGCAGCUAACGCAUUAAGCACUCCGCCUGGGGAGUACGGUCGCAAGACUG
rnacentral:rRNA from 1 species